rnacentral:lncRNA from 1 species
CAUUUUCCUUUUCCAAUAUUGGCUUCAAGAUGUUUUCUUACGACAGUCUCUAGAGCCUCACACUUCGCUGCCUCUUUUUGUGAAUCUAUUUCUUUUUUUAUCUCUUUUUCACCGUCUUUUACACCUCACAGAAAGGCAUUCACUACUGAGAAGUAAUCGAUUGUCCUUUCUUUUCCUUCUUUUCUUGUUCUUUCCUUGUCAUUUGACCUUCCUCUAUCGUUGAUUAGGAGGUAAUGUAUUGUCCACCAAUCUUUCACUUCACAAAGCAUCGCAACGUUCAAAAAGGAAAAAUAUCCGACCUUGUAAUUUGGAGCACGUGUGACCGGUCUACUGGUAGGCUACGACUUUCUUUCUAAUUUAAUUGUGCAUGAAUGUGUGAAUUCAUGAUGAUUAGUGUGAUAUCGGGGCGGGUAUCUACUUAUUCUUGCUUUCCUUCCUGAAGACCAUGUUUUAGGAUUCACUGCCAUUGUUUCGAGGGUAAUACAUCGUUAGUUAGGGUUGUAUGUGUGUUGUAGCAUGCUAUAUGAUUUACUUGUGUUAUUACUUAUUAUGUGAAGCAUGUCCCACCUUAGCUACUGAUAGACUAGUGAUGCCUUAGACCUAUGAGCCUUGUAGCUUUAUAUGUCUCCAACGUUUUUUUGGAUGGGUCAGGUCCUUGUAGACUAGAAUAGUAGACUUGGGUAUGAUAGUAUUCGCCUUAGUUUAAGUGUUUAUGUAGCUUGUUAUCCCUUUCUGUCUUCGUUCCCUAUUUCUGUGACUCCGAUGCAUUACAGAAGGUUGUGUGCUUUCUCGGGAUCGAAAAACCUUUGGUCUGGAGCCUUUUGUGAUAUCUUUGGGAGUGGAUGAUCCAUGGUGGCUUGGAGCCUACCUGAGAUCCUUUUUCAGAAUCGACAUGCCCCUGAGUCAUUUUUGCUAGUUGGGUGUCUUACUCCCUUGGGAGUGGACUGGCUAGCUGGGCGACCUUGAUAUUUGAGAUUUUCUAUAGUGUCGACACGCACCUAAGUCACUCUUACUAUCUAGGUGGCUUACACUCCUAGGAGUGGACUUUCUGGCUGGUCACAUGGUUUGAUUGUCACUAUCGCUAGCUGGGUUGGGAGUUGAAUGGUUCUUAGUUUCAUGGUUGUUUGGAUGGGAGUCGGACUGAUGUUCUUAGAUUCAGAUUUGAGUUACUCUUCAGUCUUGUAGUCUUAGCCAUUCUGUGUACCUCUCUAGGCUUAUUGAGUUCCAGUUAGGUUUAAUUGAGUUGUACUUAGAUCUACUUCAGUAUGCUCGUGUUCUUCUUCUUUUUCAUAUCUGCUCUGACCUCUAUUUGUGUCUAAUUGUUUUUGAAUGAUUUACCUUUCUUGCUUAGUUAGCCUAUGAUGCCUACUGAGUACCUUUGAUUUGGCACUUAUGCUACACCUUCAUCAUUCGUAACAGCUACGAGCGGUGAUCGUUUGUGCCAUCUUUUGCAACUUGUGGAUAUCUGAAACGAAUGUGAGCAUUUGGCGUCCUAGAUCAUUGUGUCUCCUUCUGUAUAUGUGUUUGUUAGUCUUUUGCCUUUAAGACGACUUGUUGUGGUCGAUUUUUGAGACUUGUAUUCGUUCAUACUAGAUAACUUUGUGCUUCUGACUUCCAAGUUCUGGAAGUGUUCCAUUGUAUAUAGUUUUUGGUUUGCUUCUGUAUCUGUAUUUUCUAUUGUUGGGGUUAUUUUCUAUUUAAUUCUACCCUUGCUCAUUGCUUGUCAUUCUAGGUAUGGGUCGACUUACCUACUAGUGGGUAAUAGUAAGUGACAUCAUGACUCAGGAAGUCGGGGUCAUGACAAGGAUAGAGCAUAAGCACCCCUGAAUUAUGACCAAAAUUCCAGCGACACAUCUUAACAUAAUUAGGAUCCUAUUACCCCUCCACCCAAAUAAAAAAAAUCAUUCUUCCAUAUUUUUGUUCAUUUCUUUUGUUGACAUGAUUCCUUAAACAAGAUAAGUUAAUUGUGUUUGUACAAACACCUACCACAUGUGUAAAUGUUAUUUUUUUUAAUUUAAU